rnacentral:rRNA from 1 species
UAAACGACUCUCGGCAACGGAUAUCUCGGCUCACGCAUCGAUGAAGAACGUAGCAAAAUGCGAUACUUGGUGUGAAUUGCAGAAUCCCGUGAACCAUCGAGUUUUUGAACGCAAGUUGCGCUCGAAGCCUUUUGGCUGAGGGCACGUCUGCCUGGGCGUCACAC